rnacentral:rRNA from 1 species
CUACGGGUGGCUGCAGUGGGGAAUAUUGCACAAUGGGGGAAACCCUGAUGCAGCGACGCCGCGUGAGUGAAGAAGUAUUUCGGUAUGUAAAGCUCUAUCAGCAGGGAAGAAAAAUGACGGUACCUGACUAAGAAGCACCGGCUAAAUACGUGCCAGCAGCCGCGGUAAUACGUAUGGUGCAAGCGUUAUCCGGAUUUACUGGGUGUAAAGGGUGCGUAGGUGGUUAGACAAGUCUGAAGUGAAAAUCCGGGGCUCAACCCCGGAACUGCUUUGGAAACUGCCAAUCUAGAGUACAGGAGAGGUAAGUGGAAUUCCUAGUGUAGCGGUGAAAUGCGUAGAUAUUAGGAGGAACACCAGUGGCGAAGGCGGCUUACUGGACUGUAACUGACACUGAGGCACGAAAGCGUGGGGAGCAAACAGGAUUAGAUACCCUCGUAGUC